UACGUAGGGCGCAAGCGUUGUCCGGAAUUAUUGGGCGUAAAGAGCUCGUAGGCGGUUUGUCGCGUCUGCCGUGAAAGUCCGGGGCUCAACUCCGGAUCUGCGGUGGGUACGGGCAGACUAGAGUGAUGUAGGGGAGACUGGAAUUCCUGGUGUAGCGGUGAAAUGCGCAGAUAUCAGGAGGAACACCGAUGGCGAAGGCAGGUCUCUGGGCAUUAACUGACGCUGAGGAGCGAAAGCAUGGGGAGCGAACAGG
rnacentral:rRNA from 1 species